CCUACGGGGGCAGCAGUGAGGAAUAUUGGUCAAUGGACGAGAGUCUGAACCAGCCAAGUAGCGUGAAGGAUGACCGCCCUAUGGGUUGUAAACUUCUUUUAUAAAGGAAUAAAACGAGGCACGUGUGCCUUUUUGCAUGUACUUUAUGAAUACGGAUCGGCUAACUCCGGGCCAGCAGCCGCGGUAAUACGGAGGAUCCGAGCGUUAUCCGGAAGUAUUGGGGUGAAAGGGAGCGUAGAUGGGUUGUUAAGUCAGUUGUGAAAGUUUGCGGCUCAACCGUAAAAUUGCAAUUGAUACUGGCAGUCUUGAGUGAAGUUGAGGUAGGCGGAAUUCGUGGUGUAGCGGUGAAAUGCUUAGAUAUCACGAAGAACCCCGAUUGCGAAGGCAGCUUACUAAGCUGUGACUGACAUUGAUGCUCGAAAGUGUGGGUAUCAAACAGGAUUAGAUACCCGAGUAGUC
rnacentral:rRNA from 1 species